rnacentral:rRNA from 1 species
UACGGGAGGCAGCAGUGGGGAAUAUUGCACAAUGGGCGCAAGCCUGAUGCAGCCAUGCCGCGUGUAUGAAGAAGGCCUUCGGGUUGUAAAGUACUUUCAGUCGUGAGGAAGGUGUUAAGGUUAAUAACCUUAGCAAUUGACGUUAGCGACAGAAGAAGCACCGGCUAACUCCGUGCCAGCAGCCGCGGUAAUACGGAGGGUGCGAGCGUUAAUCGGAAUUACUGGGCGUAAAGGGCACGCAGGCGGUUAAUUAAGUUGGAUGUGAAAUCCCCGGGCUUAACCUGGGAAUGGCAUUCAAGACUGGUUAGCUAGAGUCUUGUAGAGGGGGUAGAAUUCCAUGUGUAGCAGUGAAAUGCGUAGAGAUGUGGAGGAAUACCGGGUGGCGAAGGCGGGCCCCUGGGACAAAGACUGACGCUCAUGUGCGAAAGCGUGGGGAGCAAACAGGAUUAGAUACC